rnacentral:rRNA from 1 species
UACAGGGGGUGCAAGCGUUGUUCGGAAUCACUGGGCGUAAAGCGUACGCAGGCGGCUCGCAAGGUCGGGUGUGAAAUCCCGGGGCUCAACCCCGGAACUGCAUUCGAAACCGUCGAGCUUGAGUACGGGAGAGGAGAGCGGAAUUCCUGGUGUAGAGGUGAAAUUCGUAGAUAUCAGGAGGAACACCGGUGGCGAAAGCGGCUCUCUGGUCCGAUACUGACGCUCAUGUACGAGAGCGUGGGGAGCAAACAGG